UACGGGGGGGGGCAAGCGUUGUUCGGAAUUACUGGGCGUAAAGGGCUUGUAGGUGGCCAACUAAGUCAGACGUGAAAUCCCACGGCUCAACCGUGGAACUGCUUGGUAUACUGCCUGUCUUGAGCCACUUAGGGGCUGUCGGAACAAGCGGUGGAGCGGUGAAAUGCGUAGAUAUCAGGAGGAACACCAAUAGCGAAGGCAGCUCGCUGGGACGUUACUGACACUGAGGCGCGAAAGCGUGGGGAGCGAACAGG
rnacentral:rRNA from 1 species